UACGAAGGGGGCUAGCGUUGCUCGGAAUCACUGGGCGUAAAGGGUGCGUAGGCGGGUCUUUAAGUCAGGGGUGAAAUCCUGGGAGCUCAACUCCAGAACUGCCUUUGAUACUGAAGAUCUUGAGUUCGGGAGAGGUGAGUGGAACUGCGAGUGUAGAGGUGAAAUUCGUAGAUAUUCGCAAGAACACCAGUGGCGAAGGCGGCUCACUGGCCCGAUACUGACGCUGAGGCACGAAAGCGUGGGGAGCAAACAGG
rnacentral:rRNA from 1 species